rnacentral:antisense_RNA from 1 species
UCGCACGUUCCUGGGCUCUUUGUCGCGAGCAAAGAUCCAUCGCGUCGCCAGGCCGCAACGAAAAAGCCCCGACAAGCGGGGCUU